UUUAGUAUACAGUGUAAAAAAAUCAGUGUAAAAAACCCCUAGCAUUUCUGUACAACAAUAAUAUUUAAGCUGAGAGCCAAAUCAAGAACACAAUCCCAUUAAUAAUAGCCACACACACAAAAUAAAUUGCCUAGGAAUACAUCUAACUGAGGAGGUGAAACAUCUCUAUGAGGAGAACUAUAAAACCUGCUAAAAGAAAUCAAAGAUGACACAAAGGAAUGAAAAAAGAUUCCAUGCUCAUGGACUAGAAGAAUCAAUAUUGUGAAAAUGGCCAUACUG